UCGCCUGUUUAUCAAAAACAUCACCUCUAGCAUCACCAGUAUUCGCCUGUUUAUCAAAAACAUCUCUUUUUGAAUAUAAUUUAAAGUUUAAUCUGCUCAAUGAUUUAUUAAAUAGCUGCAGUAAUUUAACUGUACUAAGGUAGCAUAAUCAAUAGUUUUUUAAUUGGAAGCUGGAAUGAAGGAUUGGAUGAAAUAAUGAUUGUCUCAAUUUUAGAAAGAUUAGAAUUUUUUUUUUUAGUUAAAAAGCUAAAUUGGUUUUAAAAGACGAGAAGACCCUAUAGAUUUUUAUAAUUUAAAUAAAUAAUAAUAAUAAUAUAAAUUAAAAUUAUUUUGAUAAAUUAUUUAAUUGGGGAAAUUAUUAAAUUUAAUUAAUUUUAAUUUAUAUUAAACAGUAAUUUUUGAAAAAAUGAUCUUAGUUAUAGAUAAUAAGAUUAAAAUACCUUAGGGAUAACAGCGUAAUAUUUUUAGAGAGAUCUUAUUAAUAAAAAUGAUUGCGACCUCGAUGUUGAAUUAAAAUAAAAUUAUAAUGGAGAAGUUAUAAAUUUUUGG
rnacentral:rRNA from 1 species